rnacentral:tRNA from 1 species
CAGAGAAUAGUUUAAUUAAAAUUUUAAUUUUGGAGAUUAAAGAUGGACUUGUUUGUCUUUCUCUGA